rnacentral:rRNA from 1 species
AUACGAAAGGUGCAAGCGUUGUUCGGAUUUACUGGGCGUAAAGAGAGUGUAGGUGGUUUAUUAAGUCGGAUGUGAAAUCCCGGGGCUCAACCUCGGAACUGCAUUCGAUACUGAUAGGCUAGAGUUUGGGAGGGGUAAGCGGAAUUCCGUGUGUAGCAGUGAAAUGCGUAGAUAUACGGAGGAACACCUGAGGCGAAGGCGGCUUACUGGACCAAUACUGACACUGAGACUCGAAAGCGUGGGUAGCAAACAGGAUUAGAAACCCCAGUAGUCC